rnacentral:rRNA from 1 species
CCUACGGGAGGCAGCAGUGGGGAAUAUUGGACAAUGGGCGAAAGCCUGAUCCAGCAAUGCCGCGUGAGUGAUGAAGGCCUUCGGGUCGUAAAGCUCUUUUACCAGGGAUGAUAAUGACAGUACCUGGAGAAUAAGCUCCGGCUAACUCCGUGCCAGCAGCCGCGGUAAUACGGAGGGAGCUAGCGUUGUUCGGAAUUACUGGGCGUAAAGAGUACGUAGGCGGUUAUUCAAGUCAGAGGUGAAAGCCCGGGGCUCAACCCCGGAACUGCCUUUGAAACUAGAUAACUAGAGUCUUGGAGAGGUUAGUGGAAUUCCGAGUGUAGAGGUGAAAUUCGUAGAUAUUCGGAAGAACACCAGUGGCGAAGGCGACUAACUGGACAAGUACUGACGCUGAGGUACGAAAGCGUGGGGAGCAAACAGGAUUAGAUACCCUGGUAGUCCACGCCGUAAACGAUGAUAACUAGUUGUUCGGUCACUUGGUGACUGAGUGACGCAGCUAACGCAUUAAGUUAUCCGCCUGGGGAGUACGGUCGCAAGAUUAAAACUCAAAGAUAGACGCGNGNGAGNGCGACGACGACGACGAGGAGGAG